rnacentral:rRNA from 1 species
UUCCGGUUGAUCCUGCCGGAGGCUACCGCUAUUGGAGUUCGAUUAAGCCAUGCGAGUCGUGAGUCCUAGGGACUCGGCGUACCGCUCAGUAACACGUGGGUAACCUGCCCUAUGCUGGGGAAUAACCUCGGGAAACUGAGAAUAAUGCCCCAUAGUUCACCACACCUGGAACGGUGGGUGGAUGAAAGCUCCGGCGGCAUAGGAUGGGCCUGCGGCGUAUCAGGUUGUAGGGGGUGUAAUGUACCCUCUAGCCAUCUACGCGUACGGGUGUUGAGAGACAUCGCCCGGAGAUGGAUUCUGAGACACGAAUCCAGACCCUACGGGGUGCAGCAGGCGCGAAAACUUGGCAAUGCGAGCAAUCGUGACCAGGGAACUCCAAGUGCAUCGGGUAAGACCGAUGCUUUUCUUGACUCUUCAAAGGUCUUGGAAUAAGGGGUGGGUAAGGACGGUGCCAGCCGCCGCGGUAAUACCGGCGCCUCAAGUGGUAGUCGCUUUUAUUGGGCCUAAAACGUCCGUAGCCGGUUUGGUACAUUCGUGGGUAAAUCAAGACGCUCAACGUCUUGAAUUCUGCGAGCACGGCCAGACUUGGGACCGGGUGAGGUGUGGGGUACUCUCAGGGUAGGGGUAAAAUCCUGUCAUCCUGAGAGGACCACCUGUUGCGAAGGCGCCACACUAGAACGGAUCCGACGGUCAGGGACGAAGCCUAGGGGCACGAACCGGAUUAGAUACCCGGGUAGUCCUAGGUGUAAACGCUGUGGACUUGAUGUUGGGAGUGCUCCGAGCGCCCUCAGUGUCGAAGCGAAGGUGAUAAGUCCACUGCCUGGGGAGUACGGUCGCAAGGCUGAAACUUAAAGGAAUUGGCGGGGGAGCACUGCAACCUGAGGAUUGUGCGGUUUAAUUGGAUUCAACGCCGGG